AGGAUAAACGCUGGCGGCGUGCCUAACACAUGCAAGUCGAACGUCCUACGCAAGUAGGGAGUGGCGGACGGGUGAGUAACACGUGGGCAAUCUACCUUUCGGUGAGGAAUACCGGCGAGAAAUCGCCGACAAUACCGCAUACGCUUCGCAAGAAGCAAAGUCGCAAGACGCCGGAGGAGGAGCCUGCGCCCGAUUAGCUCGUUGGUGGAGUAAUGGCCUACCAAGGCGACGAUCGGUAGCUGGUCUGAGAGGAUGAUCAGCCACACUGGGACUGAGACACGGCCCAGACUCCUACGGGAGGCAGCAGUGGGGAAUAUUGGACAAUGGGCGCAAGCCUGAUCCAGCAAUGCCGCGUGGGUGAAGAAGGUCUUCGGAUUGUAAAGCCCUUUCGGCGGGACGAUGAUGACGGUACCCGCAGAAGAAGCCCCGGCUAACUUCGUGCCAGCAGCCGC
rnacentral:rRNA from 1 species